GAGCCAAAGCUAUUUCCUGGUCUGAUUUCUCCUAGGUGUACUCUGCUUUCUGGUGUCUGAUCUGAUGGCAAGAAUAUUGUGUCGACUAUCAACCUGGACUUUAAAUUGGAUCUGAAAGCAAUAGCUCUCCAGGCACGCAAUGCAGAGUAUAACCACAAGUAUGAGCCAAAGCUAUUUCCUGGUCUGAUUUCUCCUAGGUGUACUCUGCUUUCUGGUGUCUGAUCUGAUGGCAAGAAUAUUGUGUCGACUAUCAACCUGGACUUUAAAUUGGAUCUGAAAGCAAUAGCUCUCCAGGCACGCAAUGCAGAGUAUAACCACAAGAUGGUGGAGCCCAGGAGCCAGGCGACACCACCGACGACUGCUACUACCCCGAGGGUGCC